AGCUUUACAAGUGACAUCUACACUGGUAUGAAAACGUCUUUGCCCGCAUUCUGAUGUCUUAGUUUUUUUGCAUGUUCGUCACACUUAAACGUUUCAGAUCAUCAAACAAAUGUAAGUAUUAGUCGAUGACAACACAACUGAACACAAAAUGCAGUUUUGAAAACUUUUUAUUAUUAAGGGAGAAAAAAAAACCCAACCUACACGGCCUGUGUGAAAAAGUGAUUGCCCCCCUCUUAAAACAUAACUUAACUGAGAUUAAUUGAGAUCUAUCAGUGUGGAAAAGGGCUAUAAAGCCAUUUCUAAAGCUUUGGGACUCCAGCAAACCACAGUGAGAGCCAUUAUUCACAAAUGGCAAAAACAUGGAACGGUGGUGAAACUUCCCAUGAGUGGCCAACCAACCCAAAAUGACCCCAAGAGCGCAGCGGUGACUCAUCCAAGAGGUCACAAAAGACCCCACAACAACAUCCAAAGAACUGCAGGCUUCACUUGCCUCAGUUAAGAAAACAUCUUGAUGAUCCCCAAGACCUUUGGCAAAAUACUCUGUGGUCUGACGAGACAAAAGUUGAACUUUUUGGAAGGUGUUAUAUCUGGCAUAAAGGACGUGGAAGACUUGCUGUGAUAAAUGGAACCAUGAAUUCUGCUGUCUACCAAAAAAAUCCUGAGGGAGAAUGUCCGGCCAUCUGUUGGUGACCUCAAGCUGAAACCAACUUGGGUUCUGCAGCAGGACAAUGAUCCAAAACACACCAGCAAGUCCACCUCUGAAUGGCUGAAGAAAAACAAAAUGAAGACUUUGGAGUGGCCUGGUCAAAGUCCUGACCUGAAUCCUAUUGAGAUGCUGUGGCAUGACCUUAAAAAGGCGCUUCAUGCUGGAAAAGCCUCCAAUGUGGCUGAAUGACAACAAUUCUGCAAAGAUGAGUGGGCCAAAAUUCCUCCCCAGCGCUGUAAAAGACUCAUUGCAAGUUAUCACAAACACUUGAUUGCAGUUGUUGCUGCUAAGGGUGGCACAACCAGUUAUUAGGUUUAGGGGGCAAUCACU